UACGUAGGGCGCAAGCGUUGUCCGGAAUUAUUGGGCGUAAAGAGCUCGUAGGUGGUUUGUCGCGUCUGUCGUGAAAGCCCGGGGCUUAACUCCGGGUCUGCGGUGGAUACGGGCAGACUAGAGUGCGGUAGGGGGAGACUGGAAUUCCUGGUGUAGCGGUGAAAUGCGCGAUAUCAGGAGGAACACCGGUGGCGAAGGCGGGUCUCUGGGCCGUAACUGACGCUGAGGAGCGAAAGCGUGGGGAGCGAACAGG
rnacentral:rRNA from 1 species